AGCGAACGCUGGCGGCAGGCCUAACACAUGCAAGUCGAACGAACUCUUCGGAGUUAGUGGCGGACGGGUGUGUAACACGUGGGAACGUGCCUUUAGGUUCGGAGUAACUCAGGGAAACUUUUCCUAAUACCGAAUGGGCCCUUCGGGGGAAAGAGUUAUGGCUUUUUGGGCGGCCCUCGUCUGAUUAGCUAGUUGGUGAGGUAAAGGCUCACCAAGGCGACGUUCAGUAGCUGGUCUGAGAGGAUGAUCAGCCACAUUGGGACUGAGACACGGACCAAACUCCUACGGGAGGCAGCAGUGGGGAAUCUUGCGCAAUGGGCGAAAGCCUGACGCAGCCAUGCCGCGUGAAUGAUGAAGGUCUUAGGAUUGUAAAAUUCUUUCACCGGGGACGAUAAUGACGGUACCCGGAGAAGAAGCCCCGGCUAACUUCGUG
rnacentral:rRNA from 1 species